rnacentral:tRNA from 2 species
AAAGACUUAGGAUAAUGAGACCAAAGACCUUCAAAGUCUUAAGCAGGAGUUAAAACCUUCUAGUCUUUG